GACGAACCGUGCGAACGUUGUUCGGAAUCACUGGGCUUAAAGGGCGCGUAGGCGGGUGUGCAAGUCUGUGGUGAAAGCCUCCAGCUUAACUGGAGAAGUGCCAUGGAUACUGCACAUCUUGAGGAGGGUAGGGGCAUCUGGAACGGUCGGUGGAGCGGUGAAAUGCGUUGAUAUCGACCGGAACUCCGGUGGCGAAGGCGAGGUGCUGGACCCUUUCUGACGCUGAGGCGCGAAAGCCAGGGGAGCAAAGCGGG
rnacentral:rRNA from 1 species